UCAUUAGUAUCUUUUGUUCAUUCAGGCAACAUGGCCGUCGGUCUUUUGUCUUUUGAAUCUCUUGGGAAUGUGAAGUAAUAGUUUCCUAAGAGUACCAACAUCGAAAGGCACGACUAAGACAUAGCAAAAUACUGACAACAUGGCCGCCGGUCUAACUUUUGUCUUUUGAAUGUCUUGGAAAUGAUUAAAACCGAGCAAUUGUGUCUGCCAUUCUUUAUUUAUUUACUGUGUAAACAUGCAGAGCUAUUAAUUAAAUCAGAUUUUUUUGUUUAAAUCAGGUUGAUUUGGGAAGCCAAAAAUAUGUUACAGGUGUUUCUGAUGUUGGAUAUAAAGGACAACGGUCAUAUUUACAAGAAUACACAGUCAUGUACUCAAACGAUACAAUCUCCUGGAACAAUUACACGGAAAACUCUAUAGUUAAGGUAUUUUCUGGCGCCAAGGAAGGCCGUAUUUUGAGACACUAUUUUACUAACAAGAUCACGUGUCGGUGGAUACAGUUUAAGAUCAAGAAGUGGUAUAGUAACUUUGGUGCCGGCUUUGAAAUCUAUGGAUGUGACAAAUGAUGAUUGCAAAGAUUUUGAACACAAGCCUUAAAGAUUCAUAAAUCAAUAUCAUGUUCCUCUUUGCGCAUGCGCAGUCUUACAACAGCACAACCACUGCAUGUUUACGGUUAAAUAAAUCUUCCAUUUGUUUCUCUUCUUCCCAUGAACCCCUUCAAGCGAGCAGAAUGGAAGAAAUGAGAAUAGUCAAAUUGAAAUAAAACACAGGUUUAUUGUUUUUCAUCAAAAGGAUGACGAUUCACUCUGGAAAAAAAUCGCGCACUUCAAAGGUUGAGAAUUUGAUGUAAAUAUGAUGUAAGUGUCCAAAAUAAAAUGAAUUUGUACGUAAUUUUUUCUAGUGAUUCUUAGGCUUUCCGUCGUUAAGAAUUGCUCUUACCUCCAUACUUGAUACAUAGAAGAACUUGACAAAGGUUUCUUUGUACUUGAUGUCAUUACAAUAUUUCUAGAUGAAUUUCUAAUGUAGAAUAUUGCGCAACAGAAGUGCAAUCUUUUUAUAAUCGUUUACUUACACUGUAAUGAUCGGUCCGCUUGUUGUCUAGCUUAUUGUUAAUUUACUAGGAUGAUUAUUGAUUAACAGAUUAACAUACUUAACUUUGUAACUUAUGUCCAGAAUUGACUAAAACGUCAAUAUAAUACCAUGCAAUUCGAUAUAAUGCUAUAUAGUUUACUCUCGUUUGUGUAAUUACAUUAUAUACAUUAUUAAAUUACAAUCAAUGAUA